AUUAAUUUGAAAUAAAAAUAAAAAGAAGAGGUAAUGUAGUAGGGCAAAGUCCAUUAAGGAGAGAAAGCAAAUCAUUGCUUUUGUAAUCCAUAGAAGUGAAGAAGACGAGAGGUACAAUGUUGUUGAUUUUUCAGAUCUGUUGGCGAUAAAGAAUGGUCUUCAAGACAAGAGAUACAAAGAUAGAUGAAGUGUAUGCACAAAUGACUUUGCAACAAACCUUCAUAUUAUCAAUGAAGUCUUCAAUAGCCUGAGAGUUACGCAGAGACCACUUACUUGUCAACUUGCCAUGAUAAGACCUCUUGUUGGAAAAUAUGUGCCACCUGAAGUUGUUGUUGUUCGGUUGCUACUUUUACAUUUCUCAAAUUUCUAAAUUAUACAUUGGCCUGAUUUAUAUGUUGUUGCAUAUAUGAACUAAUAUAGAAAAGGUUGUUGCAGGUAUUUGUUUGAUCUA